AUUGAACGCUGGCGGCAGGCCUAACACAUGCAAGUCGAGCGGCUGCAGGGAGCUUGCUCCUGGAUUCAGCGGCGGACGGGCGAGUAAUGCCUAGGAAUCUGCCUGGUAGUGGGGGAUUACGUCCGGACACGGGCGCUAAUACCGCAUACGUCCUGAGGGAGAAAGUGGGGGAUCUUCGGACCUCACGCUAUUGGAUGAGCCUAGGUCGGAUUAGCUAGUUGGUGGGGUAAAGGCCUACCAAGGCGACGAUCCGUAACUGGUCUGAGAGGAUGAUCAGUCACACUGGAACUGAGACACGGUCCAGACUCCUACGGGAGGCAGCAGUGGGGAAUAUUGGACAAUGGGCGAAAGCCUGAUCCAGCCAUGCCGCGUGUGUGAAGAAGGUCUUCGGAUUGUAAAGCACUUUAAGUUGGGAGGAAAGGCAGUAAGUUAAUACCUUGCUGUUUUGACGUUACCAACAGAAUAAGCACCGGCUAACUUCGUG
rnacentral:rRNA from 1 species